AGCUAAGCGCCAGUACAGAGACAAAGUAGAAUCUCAAUUCAACGGCUCAGACACAAGAGGCAUGUGGCAGGGUCUACAGUCAAUCACGGACUACAGGAAGAAAUUCAGCCCAGUCACGGACCAGGAUGUCUUGCUCCCAGGCAGACUAAAUAACUUUUUGCCCGCUUUGAGGACAAUACAGUGCCACUGACACGGCCUGCAACGAAAACAUGCGGUCUCUCCUUCACUGCAGCCGAGGUGAGUAAGACAUUUAAACGUGUUAACCCUCGCAAGGCUGCAGGCCCAGACGGCAUCCCCAGCCGCGCCCUCAGAGCAUGCGCAGACCAGCUGGCCGGUGUGUUUACGGACAUAUUCAAUCAAUCCCUAUACCAGUCUGCUGUUCCCACAUGCUUCAAGAGGGCCACCAUUGUUCCUGUUCCCAAGAAAGCUAAGGUAACUGAGCUAAACGACUACCGCCCCGUAGCACUCACAUCCGUCAUCAUGAAGUGCUUUGAGAGACUAGUCAAGGACCAUAUCACCUCCACCUUACCUGACACCCUAGACCCACUCCAAUUUGCUUACCGCCCAAAUAGGUCCACAGACGAUGCAAUCUCAACCACACUGCACACUGCCCUAACCCAUCUGGACAAGAGGAAUACCUAUGUGAGAAUGCUGUUCAUCGACUACAGCUCGGCAUUCAACACCAUAGUACCCUCCAAGCUCGUCAUCAAGCUCGAGACCCUGGGUCUCGACCCCGCCCUGUGCAACUGGGUACUGGACUUCCUGACGGGCCGCCCCCAGGUGGUGAGGGUAGGCAACAACAUCUCCUCCCCGCUGAUCCUCAACACUGGGGCCCCACAAGGGUGCGUUCUGAGCCCUCUCCUGUACUCCCUGUUCACCCACGACUGCGUGGCCACGCACGCCUCCAACUCAAUCAUCAAGUUUGCGGACGACACAACAGUGGUAGGCUUGAUUACCAACAACGACGAGACGGCCUACAGGGAGGAGGUGAGGGCCCUCGGAGUGUGGUGUCAGGAAAAUAACCUCACACUCAACGUCAACAAAACUAAGGAGAUGAUUGUGGACUUCAGGAAACAGCAUAGGGAACACCCCCCUAUCCACAUCGAUGGAACAGUAGUGGAGAGGGUAGUAAGUUUUAAGUUCCUCGGCAUACACAUCACAGACAAACUGAAUUGGUCCACUCACACAGACAGCAUCGUGAAGAAGGCGCAGCAGCGCCUCUUCAACCUCAGGAGGCUGAAGAAAUUCGGCUUGUCACCAAAAGCACUCACAAACUUCUACAGAUGCACAAUCGAGAGCAUCCUGGUGGGCUGUAUCACCGCCUGGUAUGGCAACUGCACCGCCCUCAACCGUAAGGCUCUCCAGAGGGUAGUGAGGUCUGCACAACGCAUCACCGGGGGCAAACUACCUGCCCUCCAGGACACCUACA
ensembl:lncRNA